AACGUUAUACUUCGGGUACACACACAGUUCCUGCUUUCGAUAGUAAGAGUAAUACAAUUCUGGAGCAUUUCACUUCGAAGAUACAGGUAGUUCCCUUUCUUAUAAUACUUUCUAAACACUACCAAUCUCUCGACUUCUAGGCAAAGAACAAUCGUCGAUAAAGGCUAAUGAGAUUUUAGCACCAUGUUGGUGAGCUCAUCCGCGUGGUUAACAACCUUUCUAGUCCUGAGCACAUUUUUUACCCUCGGGUGCAGCCAGAGAUGUGGGGGUUC